GCAGUGAACUGAAGCCCCAGUAAGCGGAGGCCGUAACUAGAACGGUCAGAAGUGAGAGAAAGUGCUUGUGGGGUAGGUUCCGACACGAACGAAAGGCGGAACGAUUGGGGCAGUGGCUCAACAACAGAGUCGGUGAGAUUGUAAUUCCGGUGAAGAUGGCGGAGACCUGCGACAGGACGGAAAGACCCCAUGGAGCUUUACGGUAGCUUGACAUUGGGUCUUGGUACUACAUGUACAGGAUAGGUGGGAGGCUGUGAAACCAGGACGCCAGUUUUGGCGGAGCCAUCCUUGGGAUACCACCGUUGUAGUACUGGGACGCUAACCAUAGGCCAUGAAUCUGGUCUUGGGACACUGCCAGGUGGGCAGGUUGGCUGGGGCGGUCGCCUCCCAAAAGGUAACGGAGGCGCUCAAAGUUUCUCUCAGUACGGUCGGAAAUCGUACGUAGAGUGUAAAGG
rnacentral:rRNA from 1 species